GGUUAUUCUUCUGAGCGUGCAGUGCUCACAUUGGAUCGAUCCAGACGAAAAUGAAAAUGUGUUCACAUACCUCUACGAAACAGUUACAAAAAGAAACUAUACACAUGGAGAAGGAAUCAUUGUCAAUUUUCUGUAUGAAGGAAGUGAGAGUCGCAUCUUAGAUGUCCCUGUACAGCCGGGGGAUCCAGGUUUUAAUCACACAGUUACUGUCCGAGUUCGGAUUUUUGACAUCUAUGGGGAUUAUGGAACGUAUUCCUCAAAUAUUACAGUCAUUCCACCUUCUAACUUUGAACCUGAAGAUUUAAAAGACAUUUCAACAAUUGAGUCCUCGUUUAAUAACUUUGAUUCAAAGUUCAACAACUACAAUCUGUCAGGAAAUGACCUUCAAACCUUGAGUUUUUUAGGAGCCGUU